AGAGUUUGAUCCUGGCUCAGAUUGAACGCUGGCGGAAUGCUUUACACAUGCAAGUCGAACGGCAGCACGGGGGCAACCCUGGUGGCGAGUGGCGAACGGGUGAGUAAUACAUCGGAACGUGCCCAGUCGUGGGGGAUAACGUAGCGAAAGCUACGCUAAUACCGCAUACGAUCUACGGAUGAAAGCGGGGGAUCGCAAGACCUCGCGCGAUUGGAGCGGCCGAUGGCAGAUUAGGUAGUUGGUGGGGUAAAGGCUCACCAAGCCUGCGAUCUGUAGCUGGUCUGAGAGGACGACCAGCCACACUGGGACUGAGACACGGCCCAGACUCCUACGGGAGGCAGCAGUGGGGAAUUUUGGACAAUGGGCGCAAGCCUGAUCCAGCCAUUCCGCGUGCAGGAUGAAGGCCUUCGGGUUGUAAACUGCUUUUGUACGGAACGAAAAGGCUCCCUCUAAUACAGGGGGCUCAUGACGG
rnacentral:rRNA from 1 species